rnacentral:pre_miRNA from 1 species
AGAGGAAUAGCUGGACCAAAUGGUGGUUCCAUACCCAGUUUUCCAAGGAAUCUCCAUACUGCUUUCCAAAUUGGCUGCACCAAUUUGCAGUCCCAUCAGCAAU